rnacentral:rRNA from 1 species
ACUCAAAGGAAUAGACGGGGGCCCGCACAAGCAGUGGGGUAUGUCGUUUAAUUCGAAGCAACGCGAAAAAUCUUACCAGGUCUUGACAUUCGGUUAACCUAGUCGAAAGAUUAGGGUGCCCUUUGGGGAGAAUCGAAACAGGUGGUGCACGGUUGUCGUCAGCUCGUGUCGUGAGAUGUUGGGUUAAGUCCCGCAACGAGCGCAACCCUUGCCGUUAGUUACUACGAGAGAGGACUCUAACGGGACUGCUGUUGGUAAAACAGAGGAAGGUGGGGAUGACGUCAAAUCAUCAUGCCCCUUAUUGACCUGGGCUACACACGUACUACAAUGGCGCAAAACAACGAGUUGCGACCCAGCGAUGGGGAGCCAACCUUAAAAAGGCGUCUCAGUUCGGAUUGUAGGCUGGAACUCGCCUGCAUGAAGUCGAAAUUGCUAGUAAUCGCGGAUCAGCAUGUCGCGGUGAAUACGUUCCCGGGCCUUGUACACACCGCCCGU